AAUUUGAAAUCUGGCCCCUCCGGGGUCCGAGUUGUAAUUUGUAGAGAGUGCUUCGGGUGAGACUGCGGUCUAAGUCCAUUGGAACAUGGCGUCCCAGAGGGUGAGAAUCCCGUAUGUGACUGCGGCUCGAGCCCAUGUGAAGCCUCUUCGACGAGUCGAGUUGUUUGGGAAUGCAGCUCUAAAUGGGUGGUAAAUUUCAUCUAAAGCUAAAUACUGGCUGGAGACCGAUAGCGCACAAGUAGAGUGAUCGAAAGAUGAAAAGCACUUUGGAAAGAGAGUUAAACAGUACGUGAAAUUGUUGAAAAGGAAGCGCUUGCAACCAGACCUGUCCGUAGGCGAUCACCCGCUGUUCUCAGCGGUGCACUCGUUCUGCGAUCAGGCCAGCAUCGGUUCGGGCGGCCGGAUAAAGGCCUUGGGAAUGUAGCUCUCCUCCGGGGGAGUCUUAUAGCCCUCGGUGCAAUGCGGCCAGCCGGGACCGAGGACCGCGCUUCGGCUAGGAUGCUGGCGUAAUGGUUGUAAGCGACCC
rnacentral:rRNA from 1 species